GCACAAGCGGUGGAGCAUGUGGUUAAUUCGAAGCAACGCGCAGAACCUUACCAGCCCUUGACAUACCGGUCGCGGACACAGAGAUGUGUCUUUCAGUUCGGCUGGACCGGAUACAGGUGCUGCAUGGCUGUCGUCAGCUCGUGUCGUGAGAUGUUGGGUUAAGUCCCGCAACGAGCGCAACCCUUGCCUUUAGUUGCCAGCAGUUCGGCUGGGCACUCUAAAGGGACUGCCGGUGUUAAACCGGAGGAAGGUGGGGAUGACGUCAAGUCCUCAUGGCCUUUAUGACCAGGGCUACACACGUACUACAAUGGCCGAUACAAAGGGCAGCGACACUGCGAGGUGAAGCCAAUCCCGUAAAAUCGGUCUCAGUCCGGAUUGGAGUCUGCAACUCGACUCCAUGAAGUUGGAAUCGCUAGUAAUCGUGGAUCGGCAUGCCACGGUGAAUACGUUCCCGGGCCUU
rnacentral:rRNA from 1 species